UACGUAGGGCGCAAGCGUUAUCCGGAAUUAUUGGGCGUAAAGAGCUCGUAGGCGGUUUGUCGCGUCUGCCGUGAAAAGUCCGGGGGCUCAACUCCGGAUCUGCGGUGGGUACGGGCAGACUAGAGGUAUGCAGGGGAGAACGGAAUUCCUGGUGUAGCGGUGAAAUGCGCAGAAUAUCAGGAGGAACACCGGUGGCGAAGGCGGUUC
rnacentral:rRNA from 1 species